GAAAUAGAGACCAUUGUAAUGUAAGCAAAAUAAGCCAAACUCAGAAGGUCAAGGUUCAUAUGUUUUUCUCUCAUAUGUGGAAGCAAGAAAAGAAGAGUUGGGGAUUAUUUUAGUCAGCUUUUUCAUUGCUGUGACUAAAAGGAUCUGACCAGCACAAUUAUAGAGGAGGAAAAGUUUAUUUGAGGGCUCAUGGUUUCAGAGGUCUUAGUCCACAGAAGGCUGGCUCCAUUCCUCAGGGCUUGAGGUAAGGCUAAACAUCAUGGUGGGAAAGGGUGGUGGAGGGAAGCAGGUCACAUCAUGGUGAUUCAGGAAUUGGAGUGAGAUUCCACUUGCCAGAUACAAACAUAUACCCAAAACCAAACCCCAAUACCCACCUCCUUCAGCCACACCCUACCACUUUGGUUACCACUCAGUUAAUCCAUAUCAGGGGAUUAAAUCAUUGUUGGGUUAAGACUCUCACAACCCAAUCAUUUCUCCUAUGGACCUUCUUGUAUGUCUCAUAAAUGAGCUAUUGGGGGACACUUCACAUCCAAACCAUAACAGGGGUGGAUCUCAUGAAAAUCAAAGGGAGAUCAUUGGAAUAGAGGAAAGGGACCAGGUGAUGGUAGGAGAAAAGAGAGAGGGGAAGUGUUGGGGAGUGAUAUUGACCAAAUUAUAUUGUGAGCAUGUAUGAAUAUAUGACAAAAAAUCUCAUUAUUAUGUAUAACUAUAGUGCACCAAUUAAAAAUAUGGAAAGAUAUUUAAAAAAAGAAAAAGGAGAAUUCUAAUUCUGAGUAGUGCAAAAGACAUAAUUAAUUAAAACAUUAAAUGAAUUUGGCUUAAAUAUUAGACCAAACAUUAAGCCAAAUUUAACCAUUGUAUUAAAUAUACAAUCUAAUCUUAAUUCUAGCUAAUAUUUACUAUUUCUUGUAUGCC
rnacentral:lncRNA from 1 species